UCCAUACAAAAAAAUACACAAAAAUUGACACUUUGACCAAUUGUUGACUUUGGUCAACAGUUGACUUUUUGGUCAACUUUGACCAAAGUCAACCCAAAAUCCACAAACCCAAAAUUUCACCCUAACCAAUAAUUCAUUUUUUAUUUACAAAGAAAAUACAAAAAAAAUGCAUUUUUGACCAUUUGUUGACUUUGGUCAACGGUUGACUUUUUGGUCAACUUUGACCAAAGUCAACCCUCACUUGCUCUUGACUAUCCAAACUUGGCCUGGCCCUUUGUUUCAUUGUGUCAUCCAAUCUCAAUGUUUGUUGAUGAUUUUUCUUGUUUACUUCAUUUGCAAGUAAGUCCCAUUUGAACAAACCAAUUCAAAACUCUAAAACCAUGAACUUGACAAGUCAGGAAUGUAAGCUAUGCUGCAGAAUGAAUGAUGACAAGUUCCACCGCUCAAUGCAUUGCUUCAGCUAGUCCAAGUCAAAACGUGCAAAUGGCAAAGAAAUUCAAGGCAAAAUUUGUCCAAUUGAAUGCAUUGUUCAAACUGUCUAUCACUCCCAACAUUGAACAAGAUUGAUGAUCACGUUGCAUGUGCUGUUGCUGGGAUUAUGUCUGAUGCAAACAUCCUAAUCAAUACUGCUAGGAUCCAAGCACAGUGUUACUAAUUUGCUUACCAAGAGCCAAUGCCUGUUGAGCAGUUGGUUCAAUCUCUUUGUGAUUCGCCGAACCUGCGGGAACAAAACAAGUUUGAGAAAAUGCAUUAAUUUGCCGGUUUACCGAUGGAAUUCGCCCAUGAUGGAAUAGGCAUCAAACCAGAACAGUGAUCAGAACCGAAACUGCUUUCGGAAGCUUACCAUUUGUUAUGACGUGAGCUGCCUCAAACCAGUACGCAAUUGAGCGUUG
rnacentral:lncRNA from 1 species